GUGUGUGUGUGUGUGUGUGUGUGUGUGUGUGUGUGUGUGUGUGUGUAUGAGAGAGAGAGAGAGAGAGAGAGAGAGAGAGAGAGAGAGAGAUUCUUUCCCCCAGCUAGCAGUUUCAAAUUUUAAUUAAAAGAUCCGCUAUGGAGGUUGCUUUUUAUAAGACGUUAUGGAGAAUCCCUGAUCUGGUCAACCUCAGAUAGAGACCCAGACACGAAGGCAAUGCAUUUGCAGUGACCCUAGAUCUUGCCUGCGGAACAGCCCAGUUGUACGUCUUGACUUGGUCCAAGGAGUGCAGCAUCCUGGUACCUGCCUCCUUCUCAGCCAGCUGGAACCAGUAGAACGCCGCCUGGUCUGCUCCAGGCCUUAUUUGCUGCAUUUAGAGGCACAGUGCCAUCUAGUGGACAGAAAAGCCUCUUCAUGCUCUGAGGAACACCUAGAGACAGAAACUGUUCUCUCGAAUUCCACAGAGCCAGCCAGUGCCUGCAACUGACUUACAGAACCUCUUGGCCCAGUCUUGGUUCAGGGUUUUUGGGACCAUGCCACAGAGAGCAGUGGCUGGGCUUUCCCGUUACUUUUGGACCAUCAUCCCAGCAAGAAGGAUGGAUGGAUCCGUCUUGCCUGAAGCUUGACGCCUCACAGAGUCUACAGGUCAGAAUAUGAGUACAAAGAGGCUGUGUGUGAAAGUAUAACAACAUAAAAACAGAAUUCUAGGCCUUUAGGCCCAGGCUUGGAAAUGUGGCCUUUGUAAAGGUAUGCUAAUCAUAAAACAGAUAGCAACAUUCCUCCACCCACCCGCUUCCUGGGUUCAAAGAGUGCUCAUUCAAAGAAAGUCACCCAGAACCUGCAAUGCAAAUGUGCUAUUGUUAGGGACUCUUAAAAGCUGUCUUGAGAGUUAACAAUUACCAGGUAUUCCUUGUGACUCUUGUAACUUUACACUUCCUUGUGACUCUUAACUGGUAUCUUUGGUAUCUUCCAACAUCGCCCUCCCCACUUCCUUAAGUUGUGGUUUCUUCCUUUAAAUACCCCCUUACCCAGCUACUCGGGGCGCCACGGUCCUCUACCCCUGCGUGGUGUAUGACCAUGGGCCUGAGAGCGCUCUUGAAUAAAAAUCCUCUUGCAAUUUGCAGCAA